AAUGGGUCAGCGACUUAUAUUCUGUAGCAAGGUUAACCGAAUAGGGGAGCCGAAGGGAAACCGAGUCUUAACUGGGCGUUAAGUUGCAGGGUAUAGACCCGAAACCCGGUGAUCUAGCCAUGGGCAGGUUGAAGGUUGGGUAACACUAACUGGAGGACCGAACCGACUAAUGUUGAAAAAUUAGCGGAUGACCUGUGGCUGGGGGUGAAAGGCCAAUCAAACCGGGAGAUAGCUGGUUCUCCCCGAAAGCUAUUUAGGUAGCGCCUCGUGAACUCAUCUUCGGGGGUAGAGCACUGUUUCGGCUAGGGGGUCAUCCCGACUUACCAACCCGAUGCAAACUGCGAAUACCGAAGAAUGUUAUCACGGGAGACACACGGCGGGUGCUAACGUCCGUCGUGAAGAGGGAAACAACCCAGACCGCCAGCUAAGGUCCCAAAGUCAUGGUUAAGUGGGAAACGAUGUGGGAAGGCCCAGACAGCCAGGAUGUUGGCUUAGAAGCAGCCAUCAUUUAAAGAAAGCGUAAUAGCUCACUGGUCGAGUCGGCCUGCGCGGAAGAUGUAACGGGGCUAAACCAUGCACCGAAGCUGCGGCAGCGACGCUUAGGCGUUGUUGGGUAGGGGAGCGUUCUGUAAGCCGUUGAAGGUGUGCUGUGAGGGAUGCUGGAGGUAUCAGAAGUGCGAAUGCUGACAUAAGUAACGAUAAAGCGGGUGAAAAGCCCGCUCGCCGGAAGACCAAGGGUUCCUGUCCAACGUUAAUCGGGGCAGGGUGAGUCGACCCCUAAGGCGAGGCCGAAAGGCGUAGUCGAUGGGAAACAGGUUAAUAUUCCUGUACUUGGUGUUACUGCGAAGGGGGGACGGAGAAGGCUAUGUUAGCCGGGCGACGGUUGUCCCGGUUUAAGCAUGUAGGCGGAGGUUCAAGGUAAAUCCGGUACCUUUUAACGCUGAGGUGUGAUGACGAGGCACUACGGUGCUGAAGUAACAAAUGCCCUGCUUCCAGGAAAAGCCUCUAAGCUCCAGGUAACACGAAAUCGUACCCCAAACCGACACAGGUGGUCAGGUAGAGAAUACCAAGGCGCUUGAGAGAACUCGGGUGAAGGAACUAGGCAAAAUGGUGCCGUAACUUCGGGAGAAGGCACGCUGACAUGUAGGUGAAGCCCCUGCGGGUGGAGCUGAAGUCAGUC
rnacentral:rRNA from 1 species